GAACGCUGGCGGCAUGCCUAACACAUGCAAGUCGAACGGUAACACGGAGAGCUUGCUCUCUGGCGACGAGUGGCGGACGGGUGAGUAAUACUUAGGAAUCUACCCAGUAGUGGGGGACAACAUUCGGAAACGGAUGCUAAUACCGCAUACGCACUACGGUGGAAAGUGGGGGACCUUCGGGCCUCACGCUAUUGGAUGAGCCUAAGUCGGAUUAGCUUGUUGGUGAGGUAAUGGCUCACCAAGGCGACGAUCCGUAGCUGGUCUGAGAGGACGAUCAGCCACACUGGAACUGAGACACGGUCCAGACUCCUACGGGAGGCAGCAGCAGGGAAUCUUGGACAAUGGGCGCAAGCCUGAUCCAGCCAUGCCGCGUGUGUGAAGAAGGCCCUAGGGUUGUAAAGCACUUUCAGUGGUGAAGAAACGCUUGAGGCUAAUACCCUCGAGUACUGACGUUAACCACAGAAGAAGCACCGGCUAACUCCGUG
rnacentral:rRNA from 1 species